UCCUUUCUUCAUCCUAUCCAGUAGCACGACCACGCGCGCCGCUGCCCUUUGCCUCCGCCACCACCGCCGUCUGUGCGCGCCUUCCUUUGCGUCCGGCACCACCGCCGUCCGCGCGCGCCUCCCUUUGCCUCCGGCACCACCGCCGCCCUUUGCCUCCGCCAACACCGCCGUCCGCGCGCGCCGCCAUUUGCCUCCAGCACCACCGCCGUCAGCGCCGCCGCCCUUUGCCUCCGCCCCCACCGCUGUCCACGCGGCCGCCCUUUGCCUCCGCCCCCACCGCUGUCCACGCGGCCGCCCUUUGCCUCCACCACUGCUCCCGUGCCUCUGAUUUGGAUCGAAGUCCCGGCAGUAGUGGUGCGGCGGGGGGCGGGGAGAAGGCGAGGGCGGCGGCGGCGGGUGGUGGGGCCUGAAGAUGAGGCAGUCCUUCUAGGAGAAUGCCGGGGACGGGCAACGCGACGAGGAUGGUGCGUCGGAGUUGGAGACUGGAGUGUGCUCCAGCAGCGGGUGGAGGGACUGCGUCACGGUGGUGGGGAGCAAUGGGUUCAUGUCCAUGGCCGGACCACCCUGCCAUUAAACUCGAAUCGUUGUGUUGGAACAUGCCAUCCCUCAGCUAUGGGAGCCGAUGUUGGGGGAGGAGGGAGGCCCUUGCUGGGAUUGCAUUAGUGUGGUGCGGGUUGAGCUGGAGCUGGCUCCGAGCGAUGUUGGUUCAGGAUGAUGUGUGCGUGCAUUGCCAAACAAAGAAGCAGGCAUCCAGUAGGAAAAAUAUUCAUCGGAGUUCUCAAGUUGAAGUCAAAUUGACCAGCUACGUUUCAAAGUAUGAGAUGUGGCUCAAUAGUAUUUAUAUCGCCAAUGGCAAGCGCACCGAGUUCACUAAAAGCAACAAGCAGGGCAGGGUCAAAGUCAUUAUAUUCACCAUGAUGCAGAUUGCCAUCACAUUCAGACCCAAAGAUCUAGGAACUAUGAACUUGAUUAAAAGGGCAGGGUCAAAGUCAAGACCCGGGUUAGUGGCGACGAUGAUGGUGGCCUGCAGGCUAUGGGUCUAGCAGCGUUGCAGGCAGUAGUGUGCAGCGUUUUACGGUAGGGCGUGUGACCAGUGAUGGAGGGCUCGCGGCGGCUGCAGAUGGUGGAGUACUAGACUUGUGGUGGGCACCCAUUCAUAAGAUCUACAACAUCAUCUUUGGGUCAGUUCUCCAUGAAGGCCAUCCUGCGAUAAAAGGUUGCGCCUUCCUGCUAUUUGGGUGACGACGCCGAGCCUGUCGGCCUAUGCCCAUCGCUCCUGAUGUGGUAAUGUGGCGGUCGUUGUUGUUUGCCUGCAGAGCCUGUGGAGAGGUGGGACUUGCAGAGUAUAUGUAGCAGAAAAGAUCCAAGUAUUGGAGCCAAACAACUGUCUAUGCUACCACAUCAAGGUGGGUUGAUGCAAAUAAAGUAAGGACAGGAAUAUACAGUAGCAGAAAGACCAAGCAGCUUGGUUGCUCUUUCAUUGAACUGGAUGGAAGCGUGCAUGAGUUCUUUGCAGGGAACCAGUCACAUUUUGAAAAUGAAGCUAUAUACAACACUGUUUUAGGGAUUAAUGAACUGUUAGUAGCAGAGUCCUUCCUGAUGUGAAAGCUAAUACAUUUCUAUGGUAACCAUACAUCAGUACCUAUGAUUAAAUAAUCUUCUUUUUCUGAAAUGAUGAAACCCGAAGUAUUCUACGUAUGUCAUGAGCCACUUAAUGUGCAACUGAGUGCACACUGUUAUCAAAAUUUUAUUGGUCCAGCUGAGAUGUUUCCUUCUGGUAUUGCAAUUUGUGCGAGGUAAUACCCACAGUUUUUGUUGUGAUGUUACUAUGUCAGAAAAUUACAUGUCCACUACAUCACUUAUUUGUUAUUCUCUCAUGUUCUUGUCUGACCGUUAUAUUUUUGCUCUGAACUUACUACCCCAGCUUUGGUUUCUCUGGCUUAAACUAAUCUGGAAGCAGGGUAUCAUGUGCCCGCUCACCUGUUGGUGCGGCUGGUGGAUACAGAGAGAUCAACGAUGAGGAGACCCUCGCCGUUCUUCCGAUUGCAGCCAGUUGCGGGAUGUGAUGGCGGAGUUGUUCUGCAACCGCCCAGGGGCCAUGGACGAUGGAGAACUUCCUAACGCAGUAUGCGAGCGGGGACGAUGGAGAACUUCCUGGCGCAGUGUGCGCGCGAGUGGGUUUCAGGACAGUUCAUGGUAGAAGGUCAAGCUCAGACUGGCGUAAGCUUCCAAAUAUAUAUUAUGCCUUCGUUUGAGUUGCAUCCACAAGCAGCGCUCACUAAUUCCAAUACACCUUAAAUUGAGUUGGAUCAUUAAUGUUGGACCGUGGACAUAUAUCUGUAUCCAUUGUACUCCGGGUGUUUUCAAUUCUGAAAUAUUUUAUGGCAA